ACAUCCACUGACCAUGCAGAUGAAGCAGAAAAGAUGAUCUUAGAAAGAUCGCAGGAUUGGAGGCUCUCCAGACAGUGGUGUCUAAGCCACAGCCAGUGUUUACAAUGUUUUGUACCAAGGAGGCAGUUGGGGAGAAGGGUGUAGAAUGAGAGGCUGACUGGAACCAAGGACAUCAGCAAGAAGCCUGCAGCCCAUCCUGUGAGACAGUGGCUUCUCUCUGAGGCCCAGAAGGAUUUUGUGUUUUCUGAGAAGACAGUCAAUGGACUCAAAUGAAUAAGCCCUUGGUCCUUCCCCUAAACUGUUGGAUGCAUCCCUCUCUGAGACAAAAUGGAAGAGUCUUCAGAAUGAUUUGAGAAACUUCAAAUAUGGUAUCUAACAACAGGAAGAUGUUCAGGGACUGAAGACGCACAAAACAACUUCUACCACGGCACUCCCGUUAUAACCAUACAGUGCUAUUAGUGGAUAUUAGAUUCUUCUCCUCCAUGCUCAUUGAUUCUUUCUGGGUAAUAAAAAUGUCCAAAUCGCAAA